rnacentral:lncRNA from 1 species
GUUACCACCCAUACCUCGGCUGUAUAGUGAUGACUUUGGCAGUUCUUCAGCCUCUUCUGGCAGUCUUCAGGCCACCUUUACAUGACCCAAGUGGCAGCGAUGUUCCUGGGAAUGGAUUUACCAGGACUGAAUCUUCCUGAUUCAUGGAAAACCUAUGCAAUGACCGGAUUCGUAGCCUGGCAUGUUGGGACUGAGGUUGUUCUGGAGGUACAUGCU